rnacentral:misc_RNA from 1 species
CAACCAUCAAGCCUCAGGCUUGUGUUGGGGCCCUGCGGCUGCCGCAGGCCCCUAAAAGCAGUGGCGGACUCGCUGUCAUACCGAGCGCAGUAACACAUCUCGCUCAGGGCGUGGCGGCGGGCACCGGCCGUAAAACUCUUACACCUAA